UUGACCUCAAAUCAGGUAGGACCACCCGCUGAACUUAAGCAUAUCAAUAAGCGGAGGAAAAGAAACUAACCAGGAUUCCCUUAGUAACUGCGAGUGAAGUGGGAAGAGCUCAAAUUUGUAAUCUGGUGGCCCUUGGCCAUCCGAGUUGUAAUCUAAAGAAGUGCUACCUGUGCUGGACCGUGUACAAGUCUUCUGGAAUGGAGCAUCGCAGAGGGUGAGAAUCCCGUCUUUGACAUGGACUGCCAGUGCCUAAUAGGUGCGCUCUCGAAGAGUCGAGUUGUUUGGGAAUGCAGCUCAAAAUGGGUGGUAAAUGCCAUCUAAAGCUAAAUAUUGGCGAGAGACCGAUAGCGAACAAGUACCGUGAGGGAAAGAUGAAAAGAACUUUGGAAAGAGAGUUAAACAGUACGUGAAAU
rnacentral:rRNA from 1 species